GAUCCUGGCUCAGGAUGAACGCUAGCUACAGGCUUAACACAUGCAAGUCGAGGGGAAACGACAUCGAAAGCUUGCUUUUGAUGGGCGUCGACCGGCGCACGGGUGAGUAACGCGUAUCCAACCUGCCCAUCACUUGGGAAUAACCUUGCGAAAGUAAAGACUAAUACCCAAUGAUAUCUCUAGAAGACAUCUGAAAGAAGAUUAAAGAAUUAUUCGGUGAUGGAUGGGGAGUGCGU
rnacentral:rRNA from 1 species